rnacentral:lncRNA from 10 species
GCUUUUCCUCAGGUCCCGCGCGGCGCGCCCCUGUGUCGCAGGCGCCCUGCCGCUGCCCGCAGCUUUUGGGGGGUUCGGGGGCGGGGGAAGCAGGGCCGCAGAAGGCCCAAUCGGAGCCUUCUGACACCCGCCCCGGCCCGCCGCCCUCCCGGAGCUUCCGUCCCCGCCGCCUGGCUCCUUACUGACACGCGCGCCGCCCCCGGUCGCCCGUUUUCCCUGGGCUCCGGCCUCCUCUCGCUUCCAGCCCUGGCCUGAGGUCCUGAGGGCUCCCUGGAGGGGGCGGCUUCCCAGCACCCAGCGUUUAACAGGGCCCUUUCGGCCUCCCUGUCCCCCAAGCUCAGAGUUGGGGUCUGCAGCAGGGGAAAGAAGGAGGGAGACUGGGCAGCUCAAGUUCCCCAGACCGCACCUAUCAGACGGAGGGCGGCCCGCUCCCGUCAGAGCCCGACCUCGGCGGACAGGGGAGGGGAUGGGUUGAGAAGCGGGAGAAGGCCACUAGCUGGAAACUCCCUGACGACAGGGACACCGUUCUCGCCCCAGCCCCAGCGCUCGGCCUCCGCAGAGCCGGCCCAACGAAGGAAGAAUGAAAAUAUGAACGUGACAUGAUGUGGGCUUGAGAGGCCGCCUUGUUCUUUGGAUUCACCCAGAAACCUGACUGAAAGGAAAGUUACUGCAACUGGGGAAAAGCACAGUUGGCUGGAGAAUUUGGUUUAAAAAUAAAUAAGUUUUAAAUUACGUAACUAACACGUGCUUGGUGUAGAAAAUUUGGAAAACAUAUGAAAGUACGGUAUAAAAAUCCUCGAUCCCACUGCCACAUAGAACCACUAUUAACAUGUCAGAAUCGUUUCUUCGGGUGUUUUUUUUUCUUAAUGCAUUUAUAUUGCAUAUACAUUUUUUCUCUAACAAUAUAUUGAUGUGCCCCAGUCCCCCACAGACCCUAAUGUAUGAAUGGGAAUGGAGGCGUCUGAAAUGUGACUCACAAAGAGUUCUCUUUCCUCCCUAACACCCCAUCCCUGCCUCACCCCUUCAGCGCAUUCACAGCAGCACUGGGACUCCGGACUCAGACAAAUGUGCACUGAGCUGGCUGGUGCUCUCAUAGCCUCUGGCCC